GCGGGCGUAACUCAAUGGUAGAGUACCACCCUUCCAAGGUGGUCGUUGUGAGUUCGAAUCUCAUCGCCCGCU
rnacentral:tRNA from 7 species